UAGGGAAUCUUCCGCAAUGGACGAAAGUCUGACGGAGCAACGCCGCGUGAGUGAUGAAGGUCUUCGGAUCGUAAAACUCUGUUAUCAGGGAAGAACAAGUAUCGGAGUAACUGCCGGUACCUUGACGGUACCUGACCAGAAAGCCACGGCUAACUACGUGCCAGCAGCCGCGGUAAUACGUAGGUGGCAAGCGUUGUCCGGAAUUAUUGGGCGUAAAGCGCGCGCAGGGCGGUCCUUUAAGUCUGAUGUGAAAUCCCGUGGCUUAACCACGGGCGGUCAUUGGAAACUGGGGGACUUGAGUGCAGAAGAGAAGAGCGGAAUUCCACGUGUAGCGGUGAAAUGCGUAGAGAUGUGGAGGAACACCAGUGGCGAAGGCGGCUCUUUGGUCUGUAACUGACGCUGAGGCGCGAAAGCGUGGGGAGCGAACAGGAUUAGAUACCCUGGUAGUCCACGCCGUAAACGAUGAGUACUAAGUGUUAGAGGGUUUCCGCCCUUUAGUGCUGCAGUUAACGCAUUAAGCAC
rnacentral:rRNA from 1 species